UCAGGAAUUUUGCGCAAUGGGGGAAACCCUGACGCAGCAACGCCGCGUGAGGGAUGAAGGCCUUCGGGUUGUAAACCUCUUUUAGUGGGGAAGAAAAAAAUGACGGUACCCACAGAAAAAGCACCGGCUAACUCUGUGCCAGCAGCCGCGGUAAUACAGAGGGUGCAAGCGUUAUUCGGAUUUACUGGGCGUAAAGAGCACGUAGGUGGUUCUUCAAGUCUGAUGUGAAAUCCCUGGACUCAAUCCAGGAAGUGCAUCGGAUACUGUCGAACUCGAGUACAGGAGAGGACAGCGGAAUUCCCGGUGUAGAGGUGAAAUUCGUAGAUAUCGGGAGGAACAACAGUGGCGAAGGCGGCUGUCUGGACUGUAACUGACACUGAGGUGCGAAAGCGUGGGGAGCAAACAGG
rnacentral:rRNA from 1 species